GCGGCAGGCCUAACACAUGCAAGUCGAGCGGUAGAGAGAAGCUUGCUUCUCUUGAGAGCGGCGGAUGGGUGAGUAAUGCCUAGGAAUCUGCCUGGUAGUGGGGGAUAACGCUCGGAAACGGACGCUAAUACCGCAUACGUCCUACGGGAGAAAGCAGGGGACCUUCGGGCCUUGCGCUAUCAGAUGAGCCUAGGUCGGAUUAGCUAGUUGGUGAGGUAAUGGCUCACCAAGGCGACGAUCCGUAACUGGUCUGAGAGGAUGAUCAGUCACACUGGAACUGAGACACGGUCCAGACUCCUACGGGAGGCAGCAGUGGGGAAUAUUGGACAAUGGGCGAAAGCCUGAUCCAGCCAUGCCGCGUGUGUGAAGAAGGUCUUCGGAUUGUAAAGCACUUUAAGUUGGGAGGAAGGGCAUUAACCUAAUACGUUAGUGUUUUGACGUUACCGACAGAAUAAGCACCGGCUAACUCUGUGCCAGCAGCCGCGGUAAUACAGAGGGUGCAAGCGUUAAUCGGAAUUACUGGGCGUAAAGCGCGCGUAGGUGGUUUGUUAAGUUGAAUGUGAAAUCCCCGGGCUCAACCUGGGAACUGCAUCCAAAACUGGCAAGCUAGAGUAUGGUAGAGGGUGGUGGAAUUUCCUGUGUAGCGGUGAAAUGCGUAGAUAUAGGAAGGAACACCAGUGGCGAAGGCGACCACCUGGACUGAUACUGACACUGAGGUGCGAAAGCGUGGGGAGCAAAC
rnacentral:rRNA from 1 species